rnacentral:sRNA from 1 species
CUUGGUCAUUUAGAGGAAGUAAAAGUCGUAACAAGGUCUCCGUAGGUGAACCUGCGGAGGGAUCAUUACAAGUGACCCCGGUCUAACCACCGGGAUGUUCAUAACCCUUUGUUGUCCGACUCUGUUGCCUCCGGGGCGACCCUGCCUUCGGGCGGGGGCUCCGGGUGGACGCUUCAAACUCUUGCGUAACUUUGCAGUCUGAGUAAACUUAAUUAAUAAAUUAAAACUUUUAACAACGGAUCUCUUGGUUCUGGCAUCGAUGAAGAACGCAGCGAAAUGCGAUAAGUAAUGUGAAUUGCAGAAUUCAGUGAAUCAUCGAAUCUUUGAACGCACAUUGCGCCCCCUGGUAUUCCGGGGGGCAUGCCUGUUCGAGCGUCAUUUCACUACUCAAGCCUCGCUUGGUAUUGGGCAACGCGGUCCGCCGCGUGCCUCAAAUCGACCGGCUGGGUCUUCUGUCCCCUAAGCGUUGUGGAAACUAUUCGCUAAAGGGUGUUCGGGAGGCUACGCCGUAAAACAACCCCAUUUCUAAGGUUGACCUCGGAUCAGGUAGGGAUACCCGCUGAACUUAAGCAUAUCAAUAAGCGGAGGAAAAGAAACCAACAGGGAUUGCUCUAGUAACGGCGAGUGAAGCAGCAAUAGCUCAAAUUUGAAAUCUGGCGUCUUCGACGUCCGAGUUGUAAUUUGUAGAGGAUGCUUCUGGGUAACCACCGACCUAAGUUCCUUGGAACAGGGCGUCAUAGGGGGUGAGAAUCCCGUAUGCGGUCGGAAAGGUGCUCUAUACGUAGCUCCUUCGACGAGUCGAGUUGUUUGGGAAU